UGUUAAAAUUUUCAUCCAUUUGUACGAUUAAAAACUGGCGUGGCUGAUGGAAUAUCCAGGUAGUAACAAGUGACGUGCCACAUGUAUCUCAUGCUGAUAUAUAGGGAGUAGUUUUUAACUAUAAAACUGGAUGAGAUUUUUAAGA
rfam:Gossypium arboreum cultivar AKA8401 contig_6261_9, whole genome shotgun sequence.